rnacentral:rRNA from 1 species
UACGGAGGGUGCGAGCGUUGUCCGGAAUCACUGGGCGUAAAGGGCGCGUAGGUGGCCCCUUAAGUGUGUGGUGAAAGCCCGGGGCUCAACCCCGGGUCGGCCAUGCAAACUGGGGGGCUUGAGCAUUGUAGAGGCAGGCGGAAUUCCGGGUGUAGCGGUGGAAUGCGUAGAGAUCCGGAAGAACACCGGUGGCGAAGGCGGCCUGCUGGGCAAUUGCUGACACUCAGGGACGAAAGCUAGGGGAGCGAAUGGG